rnacentral:rRNA from 1 species
AUUGAACGCUGGCGGCAGGCUUAACACAUGCAAGUCGAGCGGAGUGAUGGUGCUUGCACUAUCACUUUGCGGCGGACGGGUGAGUAAUGCUUAGGAAUCUGCCAUUUAGUGGGGGACAACAUUCCGAAAGGAAUGCUAGUACCGCAUACGUCCUACGGGAGAAAGCAGGGGAUCUUCGGACCUUGCGCUAAAUGAUGAGCCUAAGUCGGAUUAGCUAGUUGGUGGGGUAAAGGCCUACCAAGGCGACGAUCUGUAGCGGGUCUGAGAGGAUGAUCCGCCACACUGGGACUGAGACACGGCCCAGACUCCUACGGGAGGCAGCAGUGGGGAAUAUUGGACAAUGGGCGGAAGCCUGAUCCAGCCAUGCCGCGUGUGUGAAGAAGGCCUUUUGGUUGUGAAGCACUUUAAGCGAGGAGGAGGCUCUCCUAGUUAAUACCUAGGAAGAGUGGACGUUACUCGCAGAAUAAGCACCGGCUAACUCUGUGCCAGCCGCCGCCGUAAGAC